AAUGAACGCUGGCGGCGUGCCUAACACAUGCAAGUCGGAUGUGCCCGCAAGGGUGCAUGGCAGACGGGUGAGUAACGCGUGGGAAUCUACCUUUAGUGGGGAAUAACGCUCCGAAAGGAGUGGUAAUACCGCAUGUGACCAUUGGCUGGGAUGUUGAUGGUGAAACCCUGGGACCUUCGGGCCAGGGGCUAAAGAGGAUCCUGCGUCUGAUUAGCUAGUUGGCGGGGUAACGGCCCACCAAGGCGACGAUCAGUAGCCGGCCUGAGAGGGUGAUCGGCCACACUGGAACUGAGACACGGUCCAGACCCCUACGGGAGGCAGCAGUGGGGAAUUUUGCGCAAUGGACGAAAGUCUGACGCAGCAACGCCGCGUGGGUGAUGAAGGUCUUCGGAUUGUAAAACCCUGUCGCCAGGGACGAAGGGUGAGGUGUGAAUAGCGCCUUACUUUGACGGUACCUGGAAAGGAAGCCCCGGCUAACUCUGUGCCAGCAGCCGCGGU
rnacentral:rRNA from 1 species